rnacentral:pre_miRNA from 1 species
AUUUAGCGGGGAAAAUGUUCCGCUAAAUUUAGCGGGGAAAUUUAGCGGAAAAUUUUCCCCGCUAAAUUUAGCGGAAAAUUUUCCCCGCUAAAU